AACGAACGCUGGCGGCAUGCCUAACACAUGCAAGUCGAACGAGACCUUCGGGUCUAGUGGCGCACGGGUGCGUAACGCGUGGGAACCUGCCCUUAGGUUCGGAAUAACUCCCCGAAAGGGGUGCUAAUACCGGAUAAUGUCUUCGGACCAAAGAUUUAUCGCCUUUGGAUGGGCCGCGUUUGAUUAGCUAGUUGGUAGGGUAAAAGCCUACCAAGGCGACGAUCCAUAGCUGGUCUGAGAGGAUGAUCAGCCACACUGGGACUGAGACACGGCCCAGACUCCUACGGGAAGCAGCAGUGGGGAAUAUUGGACAAUGGGCGAAAGCCUGAUCCAGCAAUGCCGCGUGAGUGAUGAAGGCCUUAGGGUUGUAAAGCUCUUUUACCCGGGAUGAUAAUGACAGUACCGGGAGAAUAAGCUCCGGCUAACUCCGUG
rnacentral:rRNA from 1 species